CGCUGGGAAACCAAGCAACCAGCUUGCCUCCCUAAUAAGCGGCUGUGGCUUGGCAAGCUGCAGCCACCCUGGGGAGAGAACCACCAGCAUCUAAGAUCCACCCCAUGUUGGAACUUGUGGCGUUGGGAAACCAAGCAACCAGCUCACCUUCCUGGUCCCCAUGGCUAUCGCCUACUUCCUGAAGAGCCAGAUCAACAGGGAUCCAGGCCUCAGCCACACACUGCAGCACCACCUCCACCAUGAAGAUGCUGUGCAAUGCCGCUUUCUGAAAAGACUUCGAAAGCCAUGGGAAAAGGUGAGCCACCAAAGGGCCGCUGCCUCUCUCAAGUCUGGAGACUGGACCACACCGUCUGUGCUACCACCAAGAGACCACUGCAGCCUACCUUGGAAUGCCUGCCUGGGACAUCCGUGCAGAUAGGCCGGGCUGAAACCAGUAGGAGCAUCGUCACAUGCAGGCCUGGCAGGAGAAAACAGACUGCGGUCCUCAGCUGGCUUCAGCCUCUUCUCACUCAGGCCCAGGCUGACCCAGCCAAGACAGGAAAGCUGACAGGGAAAAUACCCAAGAGAUGAGCGGAUGAGAGGUGAGGAGGGAGGCGGCCAGCUACCCUGACAACUGACAGCUGAGUCCAGUGGUUGAUUCAAGUGACCAUGAGAGCCACUUUACACCUGUGAAAUUGGAGAAAUCUACAAGACAGACAGUGCGGGUGUCUCCAUCCGGUAAGGAGUGGGCACUGGUGAGAAGAGGGGGCUGGGGCAGUCCCUUAAAGAGCAAGCUAAGGGAAAUCAGCCGGCUUGGCCUUCCGGACAAGAGCACCACCCUGCCUGGAGAUCCCACAAUGCUCGCACAGGUCCUUCUCUGUUCCACGAGAAGACCUGUCUGCAACAUUUUAGUUUUGAGCAGGGAUUCUGGUAAUUGUCAUUAUUAGAGCAGUGGAUAAGCAAAAUACAGUCCCAGUUGGUUAUGGAACACUUGGAGGAGAUGGGAGUGGUGGGCCAGGGUCCACACAGUAGCACUGAUAAAUCUUUAAAAGCAUUGUGUUAUCACAGGCAUUAGGUGGAGCCCUUUGUUCAAGAUCACAUUAAAAUUAGAACACAUGCAUGCACAAAUACACCUUGCACUUCCCAAAAGUGCACAUCCACUUCACAACACACACAAAUACAUCCCAAGGAAGAUGCAGAAUGGAGACCUGAGGAAAAAUAUAAAGAAUGGAAAAAAGAAAAGAAAAUAAAACAAAGGGGACUCUGCCGGGACUUCUACUACUAACAGAAGUGAGUGAUGAACGUCACUCUCAGAAGACCAUAAAAGGAAACUGGAUCUGUGACUCCUGUCUGCAAAGCAGAUCAAUGAGUGUAAGCACUGUAUGUGGAGUGAGGUACAGGAGGCAAAAGCAGGUCCUAACGUCUUGGAAUAGAGGUGACUCAGCUGAGAUGACCUGGAGAAGGAGAAAGAUCGAGUUAGGGAGGGAGGGGGAAAAUAAAGAGCUGACUUUUAAUUGAGGACUUGAGUGUCAUCCAAGCAGGAUCACGGAGUCCGAUUUGGACAGACAGGUCAGGACCCCAGAAGAGAGGUCUAGGCUGGUUUAUUGCUCAGUUAAUAGGCAAAGUUACCAUAAUCUAACAAAGCAGUUCCACACCAGAUGCUUCAGAAAAUACUAUGAGAUGACUGCUCUUACGGUCAUUUGAGGGCCCAGGCAGGUCACAUCUUCUCUCCGCCACCCUCAGGUGCCUUCAUUGGAGGUGGCAGAGUGACCAAGGUCAGCACCCUAGUCCAGGAGAAGGAGGGGAAGGCAAGGAUACAAGGCCAGUGGCCUGGGUUGUGGGAGAUUAACCAAACGCAGCAGCCGAUCAUGCUUUUAUCUGGUUGGCUGGAAGUCAGAUGUCCCCCACAGCUGGCCACUCCAACCACUAGGGAGCCUAGAGUCCAGCCCGCCACAGCUCUGUGAACACAGAAGGAAAGGAGCAGGUUGAGAGGUGACCGGAAGUCUGCACGCUGGCAGCAGGAGUCACAGAAACAAAAGCCCAGGAAGCAGAGGCAGCGAGGAAGGAAGGCGCAAGUGCAGUCAGGUGAAGGACCCCCGCAGAUUUGGUCAGAGCAGGGGAAGCAGCAGCACCUGGUCACAGAGCCAGCAGAGUCCCAGGAAAACCCUCACAGGCAGAGAGACAGCACAGAGAAGAACUACCCCCCACUCCAGUCACACACAGUCCCCAGCGUCCCGGCGACUCAACCCGCGUGCCCACAACUGUGACCUGCUCAUGACUCACCAGCCUGGCUUCCUGUCACACCCAGGCUCACCCCUGACUCCAAACAGUGCCUGGGAUCUGGUUUAUGGGGCCCAGAGCAAGACAAGGCCCUCGCCUCAUACUCUGCAAGCGCAGCCUCCCUCUCUCGAGAGCCCUGCACCACCCUUCCCGCCCCAGGGCCCAGCCACAGACCCGAAUUUAUUACAGAACUCGGAGCCUGAUCUCCAGGUCCUGUCAUUGUGCAGUCCCGCUGGCUCCCUCCACAACAGAUGGGCUGCUCCCUAAAUUUAAUGCCCCGAGUGACAACAACUGGAAAAAAGUCUACCUCA